UGCCAUCGAAUUCCAACCCUGGAGCU
rnacentral:piRNA from 1 species